ACUACGAACGACUAUGCAUACUGC
rnacentral:siRNA from 1 species